AUGAAAAAAAGAUUAUGGCCGCGGGACCCUCGCUGUUCUUUUUGUGACCAAUUAGAAACAGCCCAACACUUGCUUUUUUUGUGCCCUGUUUCUAGGGUGGUGUGGAGAACCGUUGGGUCCUUGCUUGGAACUGAUUGCUGCCCUAACUCUGUCUGGCAAUACUAUGCGUGGGUAUAUAGCUUCUUGCCUGGGCUGGACAAAGUGUACACCGUUGGCUUGGUUGCUAUAUGCUGGGCUAUUUGGUUGGCCAGGAACUGGGCCACUUUCGAAUUCAAAUGGAUUAACUCUCCAUUUGAGAUUGUAUUUACAGCAUGUGCCUUUUUGAUGUACUGGGCAGGUCUCCAGAAACCUGAGAUAGGAGAGAUGGUGAAAAAAGGAGCGGAGAUGUUGAAGGAGAACACAACACAGAUGAUGCUGUUAUGUGGUCCUCUAGUUCCAGCUGGGGACGGACGCGAUGGGAACUGA
rnacentral:rRNA from 1 species